UACGUAGGAGGCAAGCGUUGUCCGGAAUCACUGGGCGUAAAGCGCGUGUAGGCGGAUCGCUAAGUCUGUGGUGAAAGCGCCUGGCUUAACCGGGCGAGGUCCAUGGAAACUAGCGGUCUGGAGGCCGGUAGAGGGGGGUGGAAUUCCCGGUGUAGCGGUGAAAUGCGCAGAUAUCGGGAAGAACACCCGUGGCGAAGGCGGCUCUCUGGGACGGUACCGACGCUGAGACGCGAAAGCGUGGGGAGCGAACAGG
rnacentral:rRNA from 1 species